rnacentral:rRNA from 1 species
UACAGAGGGUGCAAGCGUUAAUCGGAAUUACUGGGCGUAAAGCGUGCGUAGGUGGUUCUUUAAGUCAGGUGUGAAAUCCCCGGGCUCAACCUGGGAACUGCAUUUGAUACUGAAGAGCUAGAGUGUGGUAGAGGAUAGUGGAAUUCCCGGUGUAGCGGUGAAAUGCGUAGAUAUCGGGAGGAACAUCAGUGGCGAAGGCGGCUAUCUGGACUAACACUGACACUGAGGCACGAAAGCGUGGGUAGCAAACAGG